ACCUGGGGAAUCAAGUUAGGUUGGGAUGGGGGUUGCCUGUGACACUAAGCUGGGACCUGUUUCCACUCUUUCCUUAAAUCUCCACCCUCUGCUUGAAAAUGGCAGAGAAGGGCAUCCACCACUGUUUGAGGGGUAUCACCUCAGUGUCUUUCUUGCUCCACCAACCUAUCUCCUGCUCACAUUCUAUGAUACUUCUUAAUCUCUCCACAUCUUCCUUGAGAUUCACCACCACACUGAUUAGAUCACUCACCUGCUCACACCUCACACAAGUGGAAUCCCUGCUGCCCUUUACCCGCAGCAACAGGCUCAGGCACUCGCUGCGCCAGGGACUCAAACUGCCAUAUUUUUAGGCGGGCACCCCGAGUUACCACAUUCUUUCUUGCCAGAGCUUUCUGCCUAGUGGUGACCAUGUCUAGAUUUGCUGUCUGGAAGGCAGCUGACAGGUGAGCCAGUCUCCUCAGUGGACAGAGAUACUCUCCUUCCCUGGUCUCCUACCUUGUGUGAACUGUCUGCAUAAACUGCUGCACCACACCCUUCUGAUGUGCCAUGUCCUGUUUGCCUGUCCUGUUUGCAUCACUCCUGGGUCACUCUGCUCCUUAAUGGCAGGUUUUAUACGUGCAGGGGGUGAUUCUGCCACUGCUCCUGGCUCUGCCCCUGUGAUGUCAGAAAGCUGCUGCUAUGCAGAGCACAAUGGCACUUGGCAGAUGUUCUGUGACAGGACUGCGUUCAACCAGCUGAGGUAAUUCCCUGCUUCAGUAUGGAAUGCAUCUACUGCAAAGCUGAGCACCUUGCCGAAAAGAGGAGAAAAGUGAAAAUCCAUUAGAAAGAAGCGAUAGGAAGGAAAAUUUUGCUUAAUGGGCAGAGGAUGCACAAGUCAUUUUUAGUUUAUGUGCGUAAAGAUCUGCACAAUGCCAAGAUGCUCUUUUAUACAGGGUGGGGAGGAGAGUUAACUCUAAACGUCCUCAAAAACAAUGGAGUGAGAACAAGGUAGGUAGAAGUGGAUAAUCUAAGAAGUAGAUAUCUGGGGGUUAAUGGAUGUAUGUUUAAAUAGUUUUUAUUCCUGCCCUCUAGGAAAAGGGGAAGAGUAGAAGUAGAAGAGGAACCAGUAGUUCUGGUAAUAGCUGUACAACAGCCUGUGAAAGUGCUUUUUCCAGGCAUAUUUUUUAUGUCCAGUUUUUAUAUUCCUACAUGGUGGAGGAGGCAAAAUAGCCAUCUGGAUCCAUCUGUUUUAGGACUCCACUAUAACCAAUAAAAAGUGAGCAUGCAUAGCCAAAUGUUCUGAAAAUCCUUGCAGUUUUCCUCCAUUGUAGGGUAAAUAGACCCAUGGACUUGAAUAUAUAUUUUCAGGGAAUAUCAAUUGUGGUAGUUUAUAUUGAAUAUGUUUACUUUCUUCCAUUAUAAAAUACAUGACAAUAGUACAUUUUAUUUUAUUGGAAUAUACAUUGAUUGCUCCAAUAGUAAUGCCUCCUAUUUAUUUCCAUGGAAAUUACAACAGAUACAAGGAAUACAUUAAUAUAAUUUCAUAGAGAAAGCUCUCACCACCAUUAGCUAUGUGUUUUCACUAGUGAUAAAGAAGAGCCUACAUGUCACACUUGUAAAUAUCUGCACUGGUGGAGGCGA